UACGGAGGGUGCAAGCGUUAUCCGGAUUCACUGGGUUUAAAGGGUGCGUAGGAGGGCAGGUAAGUCAGUGGUGAAAUCUCCAAGCUUAACUUGGAAACUGCCAUUGAUACUAUCUGUCUUGAAUACCGUGGAGGUGAGCGGAAUAUGUCAUGUAGCGGUGAAAUGCUUAGAUAUGACAUAGAACACCAAUUGCGAAGGCAGCUCACUACACGAAUAUUGACUCUGAGGCACGAAAGCGUGGGGAGCAAACAGG
rnacentral:rRNA from 1 species